CUGUGACUGCGUACCUUUUGUAUAAUGGGUCAGCGACUUAUAUUCAGUGGCAAGGUUAACCAUCUAGGGGAGCCGUAGGGAAACCGAGUCUUAACUGGGCGUUCAGUCUCUGGAUAUAGACCCGAAACCAGGUGAUCUAGCCAUGGGCAGGUUGAAGGUUGAGUAACAUCAACUGGAGGACCGAACCGACUAAUGUUGAAAAAUUAGCGGAUGACUUGUGGCUAGGGGUGAAAGGCCAAUCAAACCUGGAGAUAGCUGGUUCUCCCCGAAAGCUAUUUAGGUAGCGCCUCGGACGAAUACUACUGGGGGUAGAGCACUGUUAAGGCUAGGGGGUCAUCCCGACUUACCAACCCUUUGCAAACUCCGAAUACCAGUAAGUACUAUCCGGGAGACACACGGCGGGUGCUAACGUCCGUCGUGGAGAGGGAAACAACCCAGACCGCCAGCUAAGGUCCCAAAUUACUACUAAGUGGGAAACGAUGUGGGAAGGCUCAGACAGCCAGGAUGUUGGCUUAGAAGCAGCCAUCAUUUAAAGAAAGCGUAAUAGCUCACUGGUCGAGUCGGCCUGCGCGGAAGAUGUAACGGGGCUAAGUAGUAAACCGAAGCUGCGGCAAUGCACUUUAGUGCAUUGGGUAGGGGAGCGUUCUGUAAGCGGUUGAAGGUGUGUGGUAACGCAUGCUGGACGUAUCAGAAGUGCGAAUGCUGACAUGAGUAACGAUAAAGGGGGUGAAAAACCUCCUCGCCGGAAGACCAAGGGUUCCUGUCCAACGUUAAUCGGGGCAGGGUAAGUCGACCCCUAAGGCGAGGCCGAAAGGCGUAGUCGAUGGGAAACGGGUUAAUAUUCCCGUACUUCUUACAAUUGCGAUGGGGGGACGGAGAAGGCUAGGUGGGCCUGGCGACGGUUGUCCAGGUUCAAGUGCGUAGGCUGAAGAGUUAGGUAAAUCCGGCUCUUUCUAAGGCUGAGACACGACGUCGAGCAUCUACGGAUGUGAAGUCAUUGAUGCCAUGCUUCCAGGAAAAGCCUCUAAGCUUCAGAUUGUAAGGAAUCGUACCCCAAACCGACACAGGUGGUCGGGUAG
rnacentral:rRNA from 1 species